UGAUAUGAAGUGAUGGGUAUUUGUGAAGGUUUUUCAUGGGAUGGAAAAUAAAUUUGAUAUGAAAUAAUCUGUUGAGGAUAGUUUAUGGUAUUAUGUGGGGAGGACAUGGGUCAACUGUAUGAUGGUUAUGUCAUGUAUGAUAUGAAAUGUAUGUUAUGGUGUGUAACAUAAGUAUCUCUUCAAAUUGAAAACAAAGAUAAAAGCCUCAUGACAAAAGGUCAAGAAGAAAGAUGAGAGGGAAUAUGACUUCGUUGGGGAUAAGUUUCUUAUGUAAAAG
rnacentral:lncRNA from 1 species